GAUGAACGCUGGCGGCGUGCCUAAUACAUGCAAGUCGAGCGAACGGACGAGAAACUUGCUUCUCUGAUGUUAGCGGCGGACGGGUGAGUAACACGUGGAUAACCUACCUAUAAGACUGGGAUAACUUCGGGAAACCGGAGCUAAUACCGGAUGAUAUUUUGAACCGCAUGGUUCAAAAGUGAAAGACGGUAUUGCUGUCACUUAUACAUGGAUCCGCGCUUCAUUAGCUAGUUGGUAAGGUAACGGCUUACCAAGGCAACGAUGCAUAGCCGACCUGAGAGGGUGACCGGCCACACUGGAACUGAGACACGGUCCAGACUCCUACGGGAGGCAGCAGUAGGGAAUCUUCCGCAAUGGGCGAAAGCCUGACGGAGCAACGCCGCGUGAGUGAUGAAGGUCUUCGGAUCGUAAAACUCUGUUAUUAGGGAAGAACAUAUGUGUAAGAAACUGUGCACAUCUUGACGGUACCUAAUCAGAAAGCCACGGCUAGCUACGUG
rnacentral:rRNA from 1 species